rnacentral:lncRNA from 1 species
GAUGAGUUGGCACCAAAAGGCAGUAAAAGGAAAUUGUUUUAGUUUGGAUGCUAAUUUAGUUAUUUGUGGUGGGGUAGAAAAAUUAGUCAGCUUGCUGUAAUGUGUUGCUAUAUUUGACAGUCUUUUUAGGCUGCUUUCCCUUAAUUGCGUAUCUUGUGGUUAUCGCUGGAAGGAUGAGGCUCCCAGGUUAACAGCAAUAGGAUGAGAGGUGACGGCCUCACAUUACACCAGGGGGGUCAGGUUGGGUGUUAGGGAUGAUUUCUCCUCUGGGGGAGCAGUGAUGUGUUGCUAUGGGCUGGAGCAGCAUCCCUGGGGGGUGUUCGAGGAACUGCAGAGAUGUGGCACUUGGUGGGAUGAUGGGUUGGAUUGGAUGGGCUGGGGUUGGACUGGAUGGUCCAGAAGGUCUUUCCGAACUUUAGUGAUUCUCUAUGGAAUUGCAGAGUCCCAACACUGACCUCUCUGACUUGCUUUCUUUCCAAGACAUCCCCACGUCGCUGCCCAUCCAGUGCACUGAGGACGCUUGGGCAGAGGGAGGGGAGCAGCCCCCAGCUGACAGCCCCCAGGUGCAUCCCAAGGCCCCACAGGGCUCUGCCCACCCUCUGACCCCACCAAAUGAUGCCCACACGUUGCCUGGUGCUGAUGGGUGGUACCCAGAGUGCAGUGACCUCAGGGCUGGGAAAGCUGCCCUCCCAGGGGCUUUUAUCAGCAGCCAGGAGGGGAGGAAGGAGAAGAUGCUGGUAGACACAUGGCUGGAGGACUGUAGGAUGGCUCAUACCACCAACAGCCCUGAGGAAGAAGUGAAAGCUUGCUGCAGCCCACAGGAAUUUGUGGCACCGUGCAGUGAGGCCACACACUCCUUCCUGACUAUCCUGGACCUCUAUGAAGCCCCAGAAACACUUGGGAGGGAGGAUGCUCCCAGUGACAGCGCUCUGCCUGCUGCAGAAAAGGUGCCGGUGGAAAUCCGAGGACCUCUGAAGACCUCCUGGACACCGGGGUGGAUGCUGGAGGACGCCGUGCUCGGACCAGGCACAGCCGCGGCUGCUCAGAUAUGUGACAUUUGCCAGGAGACUUUCCCUGCGGACACCACAGCUCAGGGUGACUAUUUAAAGCACGUCUUAACCCAUAUGAAAUAGGGCUGUAGGACUUUGUGCUCAGGAACCUACAUCUGUGCAACUGUGAGCGGCACAACGAGCUCUGGACCUUCAUAAGAUGCAUCUACAGCCCCAUUCUAUACCACUGGGGCUCCUUGACCUGAGCAUAACCAAGACCUUAACUUGAUGGGGAUCAAAACAGGGGCUCUCACAUCAUGGUGCAGCCUCCCCACUGGCAUCUCCAACAGCUCCAAGCUGCCUCCUGUGGCUCCCUGAUUCAAUUAAGCAUCAUUGGACGGUGUGUUGUGCUCUUCUAUAGGACCUGGAGGAAAAUAUCAGCCUGCAGCUUGCAGGGUUACUAGGAGCAUCAGCUCUGCAUCAAGAAGGGCCAUAAAUUCAUUGGGCAUAAAAUUGUUGCAGCCAUCCAGAAUUUGCCAGAAUGGAGAAAAACCGACCAGGUUCCUCCUGCUCUGAGAGCAAGUCCAGUAAAUUUCAUUUAAAGACUGUGAGCACAGAUGGCUUUUCUCAAGAGUCAAAGCAGUUGUGGCAGAGGGCUGAAAUCUAUGAGAUGCACUUUGUGAUGAGCUGUGGGUGUGUGUGAGUGGCACAGUUCACAUUAAUGGGAAUAGAUUGCAGAGCCCAAGGAGGGACAGCUGCAUGCACUGGUGCAGGUCAGGGGCUGAGCUGUUAGAAGGGAGAAGGACCUGGGGGUCCUGGUGGCCAAGAUGGCCAAUAGUGGCCAACGUGGUUGUCCAAUGGUUGACCAUGAGCCUACAAUGUGCCCUGGUGGCUGAGAAGGACAGUGGUGUUCUGAUUGACCAUCUAUUGACCAACUAUUGCCUAUGGGCCAGCAGUGUGCCCUGAUGGUGGACAAGGCCAGUGGGUGACCAGCAGUGGGCAAAUGGUUGACCAACAGUUGAUCAAAUCUGGACCUCAAGCCAACAGUGUGCAUUGGAGGCCAAUGGUUCCCUAUGGGCACUGCAGUGUUGCUCCUCUGCUCUGCGCUGGGGAGGAUUUGGGGCUCUGUGUUAAAUCACUCUGGGCUCCUUUAUGGUCAGGCAGACCUCGAGUUGUGCCGUGGUUCUUUGCCUGUGCUCCUUUCCUGGUGACUCAGGCUGGGGCUGAGCUGUGCAGGUUCUACCCCCAUCUAACUUCACUGCAUGAACUUUCUCAACACGCUUCACUGUAUUUUUAGACGUUACGGUGCAAUUAGUCACCCCCCCCUCCCAGCCAGAUGGUCCACGGUGACACAGGAGCUUCUUUUUUUAAUCCCACACUUUCCAUUGGCAUGAGCUUCCCAAAUAACCUUAAGUAUAGGGUGUUUGUUUUAGCUGCAGGGUGGGCGGUGUGAUUGUUUUCCCCAGGUCACCUCACCGGGGCUGAAGUUGGGUCAUUUCUGGAAACAAAUGGCAGAUUGGUGGCAGUUUCCAGUAAGGAGAAAUUGAGGCUGGAUUGGAAAAUCAAGCAGAAUUACGUCUGCUUGCUUUCUUGCUGUUGGGCGCCUGCAUUGGGCUGGGGGUCAGCACGUCCUCCUGUGGCUCUUGGUUUCAAAGCAGGGCUGGGAGAAGGAGGUGUCACCUAUUCCCAAUGGAAACCAAGCUUUGAAACUGCAGCUGGAUAACAGAUUGGGGUGGGAAAUGUUCAGUUGUUGGGUUUUCUAAUGAAGGAUGCUGGGCUGUUGGGGGGGAAUUGGGACAUGGGCAUCCUGACCAUCUAUAAUCAAUCAUUCACAUGCUCUAGACAGGACCCAAAAGCAAUCAGGAUCCCACUGGGCACAGGAGGGGGAAUGCAAUGCCUCUAAUGGGGAAUGUGGUGAAAUAGUUACAUUUCCUCCAUCAAUAAAAACAUAUUCCUUGAAGGAAAGGUGCUGUGC